AUGGGUGCCGUCGAGGGGUACCGUGUUGCCGGCGGCCCACUCGGUGAGAUCGUUGACCCACUCUACCCAGGCGGUAGCUUCGACCCUCUUGGCUUGGCCGAAGACCCUGAGGCAUUCGCCGAGCUCAAGGUGAAGGAGAUCAAGAACGGUCGCCUUGCCAUGUUCUCAAUGUUUGGCUUCUUUGUCCAAGCUAUCGUCACGGGCAAGGGCCCACUUGAGAACCUCGCUGACCACAUCGCCGACCCCGUCAACAACAAUGCAUGGGCAUUCGCCACCAACUUUGUCCCCGGCAAGUAA
rnacentral:rRNA from 1 species